rnacentral:rRNA from 1 species
UACCGAGUUUACAACUCCCAAACCCCUGUGAACAUACCUUAUGUUGCCUCGGCGGAUCAGCCCGCGCCCGGUAAAACGGGACGGCCCGCCAGAGGACCCUAAACUCUGAUUUUAGUGUAACUUCUGAGUAAAACCAUAAAUAAAUCAAAACUUUCAACAACGGAUCUCUUGGUUCUGGCAUCGAUGAAGAACGCAGCAAAAUGCGAUAAGUAAUGUGAAUUGCAGAAUUCAGUGAAUCAUCGAAUCUUUGAACGCACAUUGCGCCCGCCAGUAUUCUGGCGGGCAUGCCUGUUCGAGCGUCAUUUCAACCCUCAAGCUCAGCUUGGUGUUGGAGAUCGGAUCGCAAGAUCCGCCUCCCAAAUCUAUUGGCGGUCACGCUGUAGCUUCCAUUGCGUAGUAACAUACCUCGUCUUGGAGAGCAGCGCGGCCACGCCGUUAAACCCCAACUUCUGAAUGUUGACCUCGGAUCAGGUAGGAAUACCCGCUGAACUUAAGCAUAUCAAUAAGCGGAGGAAAAGAAACCAACAGGGAUUGCCCUAGUAACGGCGAGUGAAGCGGCAACAGCUCAAAUUUGAAAUCUGGCUCUCGGGCCCGAGUUGUAAUUUGUAGAGGAUGUUUUUGAUGCGGUGCCUUCCGAGUUCCCUGGAACGGGACGCCAUAGAGGGUGAGAGCCCCGUCUGGUUGGAUGCCAAAUCUCUGUAAAACUCCUUCAACGAGUCGAGUAGUUUGGGAAUGCUGCUCUAAAUGGGAGGUAUAUGUCUUCUAAAGCUAAAUACCGG